rnacentral:rRNA from 1 species
AUUGAACGCUGGCGGCAGGCCUAACACAUGCAAGUCGAACGAGUGGCGGACGGGUGAGUAAUGUCUGGGACACUGCCUGAUGGAGGGGGAUAACUACUGGAAACGGUAGCUAAUACCGCAUACCAUCAUAUUUGCCCAGAUGGGAUUAGCUUGUUGGUGGGGGAACGGCUCACCAAGUCGACGAUCCCUAGCUGGGCUGAGAGGAUGACCAGCCACACUGGACAUGAGGCACGGUCCAGGCUCCGACGGGUGGCAGCAGUGGGGAAUAUUGCACAAUGGGCGCAAGCCUGAUGCAGCCAUGCCGCGUGUAUGAAGAUGGCCUUCGGGUUGUAAAGUACUUUCAGCGUGGAGGCGUUACCCGCAGAAGAAGCACCGGCUCACUCCGUGCCAGCAGCCGCGGUAAUAC